CUCCUUCCCUCCCUCUCUUCUUCCUCCCUCCUUCCUCCCCUCCCUCCCUCUCUCCUUCUCUUCCUCCAUUAUUUUCACCACCCACCCCCGCCACUUUCUUUUUCUUCCUCCUUUUGGUGGUACUAGAUAUUAUACCUAGGGCAUCCUGCUUACCAGACAAACACUCUACUGAGUCACUUCUCCAACCCAUCACUGGAGAAUUCUAGAGUCCUGGGGCCACCAAGAUGACUGAGCAGGUAAAGAUACUUGCUACCAAGCACCAUGAUCUGAUUUUCUCCACCAUCCUCAUGGUUGACAGAGAGAAUUGACUCCUGCAAAUUUUUCUCUCAUCUCUGCACACAUGCCAUGGCAUAAGCACUCAUGCAGCAAAGGGUAGGAGAAGAAUUUGGGCCAUGAAGACUGGGCUUCCUGGUACAUAUUCGAUGGAAACGUACUUGAGAUUUCUUCCCGGACUCAUCAUGCUAUCCAUUCCUCCUACGUGCACGACCAUAUGAAAGUCAGUGAACUUUCUUGCCUGCACCUCUCUGGCUUCCACAGUCACAGAUCAAAGGUUCUGAAAAAACAAAAAACAACAACAACAAAAACACCUCAUGUUCUAUGUGCAUGGGCAGAAACUACUCAGAAAUGAUGCCAGGAACUGAAGAGCGGAUACUACAGCUGGGAAUA